rnacentral:rRNA from 1 species
UACGGGGGGGGGUAAGCGUUGUUCGGAAUUACUGGGCGUAAAGGGCUCGUAGGCGGCCAACUAAGUCGGACGUGAAAUCCCUCAGCUUAACUGGGGAACUGCGUCCGAUACUGGAUGGCUUGGAUUUGGGAGAGGGAUGCGGAAUUCCAGGUGUAGCGGUGAAAUGCGUAGAUAUCUGGAGGAACACCGGUGGCGAAGGCGGCCAUCUGGACCGCAACUGACGCUGAGGCGCGAAAGCGUGGGGAGCAAACAGGG